ACAAACGCUGGCGGCGUGCCUAAUACAUGCAAGUCGAACGGGGAAAGCUUUCGGGUGAGUACUAGUGGCGCACGGGUGAGGAACGCGUGGAUAAUCUGCCUUAGAGUGGGGGAUAACUAGUCGAAAGAUUAGCUAAUACCGCAUAAGACCACGAGAGCUGCGGCUUUUGAGGUCAAAGGUUUUUCGCUCUAAGAUGAGUCCGCGUAAGAUUAGCUAGUUGGUGAGGUAACGGCUCACCAAGGCGACGAUCUUUAACUGGUCUGAGAGGAUGAUCAGUCACACUGGAACUGAGACACGGUCCAGACUCCUACGGGAGGCAGCAGUAGGGAAUAUUGCACAAUGGAGGAAACUCUGAUGCAGCGACGCCGCGUGAGUGAUGAAGGCCUUCGGGUCGUAAAGCUCUGUCGCAGGGGAAUAACACAAUGAAGGUACCCUGUAAGUAAGGAUCGGCUAACUUCGUG
rnacentral:rRNA from 1 species